rnacentral:rRNA from 1 species
UACGGAGGGUGCAAGCGUUAAUCGGAAUUACUGGGCGUAAAGCGUGCGUAGGCGGCUACUUAAGUGGGAUGUGAAAGCCCCGGGCUCAACCUGGGAACUGCACCCCAAACUGGGUAGCUAGAGUACGAGAGAGGAGUGUGGAAUUUCCUGUGUAGCGGUGAAAUGCGUAGAUAUAGGAAGGAACACCAGUGGCGAAGGCGACACUCUGGCUUGAUACUGACGCUGAGGUACGAAAGCGUGGGGAGCAAACAGG